UGGGGAAUAUUGGACAAUGGGCGAAAGCCUGAUCCAGCCAUGCCGCGUGUGUGAAGAAGGUCUUCGGAUUGUAAAGCACUUUAAGUUGGGAGGAAGGGCAGUAAGCGAAUACCUUGCUGUUUUGACGUUACCGACAGAAUAAGCACCGGCUAACUCUGUGCCAGCAGCCGCGGUAAUACAGAGGGUGCAAGCGUUAAUCGGAAUUACUGGGCGUAAAGCGCGCGUAGGUGGUUCGUUAAGUUGAAUGUGAAAGCCCCGGGCUCAACCUGGGAACUGCAUCCAAGACUGGCGAGCUAGAGUAGGGCAGAGGGUGGUGGAAUUUCCUGUGUGGCGGUGAAAUGCGUAGAUAUAGGAAGGAACACCAGUGGCGAAGGCGACCACCUGGGCUCAUACUGACACUGAGGUGCGAAAGCGUGGGGAGCAAACAGG
rnacentral:rRNA from 1 species